UGCCACAGCCAUAUCACCCUGCAGCCCAAGACUGGUUGCCCACUGAAGCUAAGCAGGGUUGAGCCUGGUUAGUACCUGGAUGGGAGACCUCCUGGGAAAACUAGGUUGCUGCUGGAA
rnacentral:rRNA from 1 species